GCUGGGUGUGGUGGCUCCCGCCUGUAGUCCCAGCUACUCAGGAGGCUGAGACAGGAGGAUCUCUUGAGCCCAGGAAGUCAAGGCUGCAGUGAGCCAUGAUCACACCACUGCACUCCAGCCUGGGUGACAGAGUGAGACCCUGUCUCAA
rfam:Nomascus leucogenys chromosome 9, whole genome shotgun sequence.